rnacentral:misc_RNA from 1 species
UCACGACUGUUUAAAUUUUGGCAAUCUAAAUAUAUAACCUUCCCAUAUGGCAUAUACCUUCCCAUAUGCCAAGCCUUUUCCUUGUAUUUACGACUACUUCUAGAGAAAUUAUAUAUUACAUCAAUUUUUCAUAUAUAUAGAAUAAUUUAAUAAAAUGGAAAAUUACAAAUGUCAAGCAGUGUUAUAUAUUGAUAACUAUAAUUAUUUAGGCGCAAUUUGGUAAUGACUUGUUAUUCUAUGAUGGCCUAGUUUUGAAGCCUUUGCCUGUUUAGACUUGAACCAGCAUGCUCUGCCGAGUCAGAAUUAAUGUACCCCUUGUUCUCCACGGGGAUGUUCUUGGACUGUAUGAUUUGGAGCAGCUAGUCCAGGUGCACUGGUGCCAGCAGGACUAUUAAAGCCUCUUUUCCUGGAAGCAAGCGAGAAGUGCUUCUGAAAGAUUGUUAACAAAUCAAGAAUUCUACUCAACAUUGAGAUUCUUGGAUUGAUCAGAACCUGUCUGUUUUCGUAAACAAUCAUGACCAUGUAUAUCAGAAGAGCUAAAACUGAAAUCAUUCCAGCAAUCAAGAACAGGCCUUUGAAACUAUCAAGGCCAAGUCUAUUAGAAACUGGGUCGCUACGAACUGAACAACUGCCGUUGUCAAACCAUUCAUCUUCUAAUUUCUUAAUUUCACCAUUCUCUCUCAGUGCUAAGAUUGCUCUUGAUACAUCAGGUACCAAAGAAGAACCUCGAGAGAAGACAAAGCCAAAGCCGCUGGUCAUAUAUUUUUGAAGAUCCAUAGAUUCAGCCAUGGUAUAUUUGUCACAAUGUUCUGCUAGAAUGAUAUUCAGAUAUGGUGCUUCGUCAAUAGCAACAGCAAUACCUCCAUUUUCAUUUCCUUUUGAAAGAAGUUGGUCGCAUUCUUCGGCUGAUGAAUAUGGCAAGAGUUGAGAUUCAUAAAAGCCCAAGCUCUUUAGAAAUCCACGAACGGAAGAACCACUCUGGUAGCCCACAUGCUGCCUCUUCUGAAUGAGCUCAUUUAGAUCGUAAGCAUUAGAAUUCAGCUGUUGUACUGUAAGGAAGCUAGAUAAGGCAGCGGCAUAACUUUGCGUGAGGACAAGGCCAACAAAACACCAUGUGAUUACCACUAUUCUAGCCAAAUUGCUGAUCACCUUCUCCCGAUGAGCAAAAACCAUGGUUGAAAAGGAAAACCAAAUGCUAGUGCCUAUUUGACGCAAGGGAGGUCCUUGAAAAUCAUCAUUUAUUCUGUGUUCCAGGACCCAGACUACUAAUCCAAUAAAAACGAAAAAACAAAUGCUUGUGAUCCAAACGCCCCAAGUUAAAGGCUUCAAGAAAACCCAAGUUUUGCGAUUCGUGUGGUCUUGGGUCGGCACAAUCAUUGAUAGGCCGCCACUUUCCAAGAAUGGCAUAGUAUAGUCAACAUAGUACGACCUGCUAGCUAAGAUACUUGCGUCUCCCACAACAGCAUCAAUUUUCCCUAGGUAGACUUGGUAGAUCAUAUUGUCGUAACUUUCAGAUGAGAGGAUGAACUCAUAACUUAUAGCAUAUGGCAACAUCUUCAGUACAUUAUUAAAAACCUCUAUGCAGUAUCCUGAGAACAUUGGAAUGUUAGUAUGAGGAUCUUUUUUCACGGUCACCAAUUGAUUGAACCUAUUCCUUACUGGAACUCCUACUCGCAAUGCUCUUCCAUUACUCAUAACCAUACCCUUGGGAAUGAGAGUUGAAUCCCCUGGCCAUAUAAUAGGUGCAAGACCAGAAGUAGAAGUAGGGCUUUCUUUGCCAACUGUAUUAUUGGAGGAAUUUAAUUUUCUGACAAGCCCCUUUCCUGCUGUCCAAAAUCCAACCCCCCUUGAUCCCUCAUCAUUCAUAUUAACUACCUGGAAUAAUGAUGACUGUAACUGUCCAUUGACAAAAAGGAAAUCACCUGUGAGGCCUCUGAAACUAAUAUUUGACAAAGCCUGAACAAGGUUUGGACCAUUUCUAGAGACCCCAAAACUCUCAAGACAUGUUGUCGAAUUGCUAGUAACAUUUGCCAUUUGAAAGCUUAAGCUUGUGGUCCCAGCUGUCUCAACUGCCAUGGCAAGUGCAGUCAUAGCAUCAUAAGCCCAUAGUCCGUUAAUGCUCAAUUCAGCAUCAACCAUGUCAGGAUUAUCACGAUAGAAAUUCUUUUUCCAUUGAACUCGAAAAUUCUCUAUCUCUAUUGUAUUUGGAACAUACGGUUUUACUCCUAAUACCCCUUGCAUUGAAUCCAGAACUGAAGGAUCCGAUGCACUCAACAAAUCAACCAUCCCAUCAGUUAAGAUCCAAACAUAUCCUUCAGUCAACAUUCCAACUUGUUUUACUUUGGUGAAAAAUCGAGACCCCAGAGAGGGAAACAGGUGCACAAUGAAAACUGUGACUUCCAUUGUCAUCAACUUGUAAAGCUCUUCCUCAAUUUGUUCAUCACUAGCCAGUGGAGAAAUGGCACUCCAGUAAGAAACACGGGUACCGAUUGCUUGUAAAGCAUUAGUUAAGUAAGGGAUCAGUCUCUCUCCAAAUACGUUGUCAACAUAGAUAGGCACUGCUUCUUUCCAUCUGAAAGCUUGAAUUAUUGCACUUAUGGCUUGUGCUUGAUUUGCGUCACUUUGUGUAGCUCGGAAAAAGUAUGAACUAUGGACAGAAGCAAUGGAAAAACUAGAUGCAGAAGAAGAUAUAAUGGGCACCCGUGCUUUUUCUCCCAGUUCAAUGAUGAAAUUGGCCUGCAAUGAUGUUGUUGGUCCUAAUAUUGCUUGCACUUGGGUAUUUUUUAUCAAGUCAAGUGCUAUGUUUUGAAAUCAAGACAGGAAAACAAUCACAAAUUGAGUUCCACCAUACUAAUUUAUGAAUGUUUAUGAAAAAGAAUAAAAAGAUCAUUGAAAAUAAACUAUAAUUAAAAUAUUCAGAGGAAUAUCACACAAGAGAGUUGCAUUCAAACAUUUUUCCUUUUUCAAAUAAAAGUUAUUUUUUUCUGCUAAAAGGUAGAAGUUUGUUUCAAGGGAAAGUAAAAAAUUUUUUCUUAUAUAUAUGUUUUCGCAUCGCGCCAAUUAAAUUUAAGAACUCGUUUUUCCAUAUCUAUCUUUAUAUUCUAUAUUAACGUUAAAGUAAAGAAAGGGUGACGAAGGAUACAGACGGGUUGCUGAGUUUUUGGGUUUAUUUUUUUGGGUUUGCGGCUCGUCUGGGAUAAAAGGUUACAGACGGGUUCUUGUUGAAACAGAAAAUUUGUGGGUGGCCUCUUCUUUGACAUGUAGCAACAGCUUUAUUUAGCACAAUUCUUGUUUGGAGCAUAGUAAUUUCUCCAGCAUUAGAGAUCUGUUGAAGAGGGAUUGGGUGGUGAACAUCAAGCAUGUGUUUAGGGAAUGUAAUUUUGACGCUGAUUGGUUGGCCCAUCUUGGUCACUCCUUACAAAUAGGCGUGCAUCGGUUUGAAGUUCCUCCGGCGAGUCUCUGUGUUCUUCUUGUGCAUGAUGCUUGUAGCGUUGCUAAUCCCACGAGCUGUGUGAACAAAUCUGUUCUGUUUGUCU